UUUCCGUAGGUGAACCUGCGGAAGGAUCAUUAAAAAAUUGGACUCCAUUGGUGAGUUCAUCAAUAAUCCCUACCCUUUGUGAAUUUGUUUGUUUGAAUAAUUUUUUUUCCAAAAAAAAUUAUUGAAUGUCUUUCCUUGUUUUGGUGGAGCUUGUAAAGUGAAACCAGGCAGGGGAAUGGCAAACAAUAAUUAUUUUUGAAAAAGACCUUUUUUUAAAAUUAAACUUUUUGUAUUCAUUUGUCUAAAAUUAAUUUUUAUAAUAUAAAAACAACUUUUGACAAUGGAUCUCUUGGUUCUCGCAACGAUGAAGAACGCAGCAAAAUGCGAUAAGUAGUGUGAAUUGCAGAAUACGUGAAUCAUCGAAUCUUCGAACGCAUAUUGCACUUUUUUAGUUUACUAAAAAAGUAUGUCUGUUUGAGUAUCAGUAAAAUAUUCUCAUAAAAAACAUUGUUUUUUUUAUGGUUAUGAGUGUUUUACAACGAUAACAAGUUGUUUCACUUUAAAUUCUUUGUAAUCAAAAAAAUCAUUAAAAGCUAAUUUUAAAGAUUUUUUAAAAUUGGAUAAAAUUUUCCCGUAAAAAGGAAUAACCUAAACAAUUUUAAAAAAUUAAAAUUGGUUUGAUUUUUUUUGAAACCCAAAGGAAAAAAAAACGAAAUUAACUUGAUCUCAAAUCAGAUAAGAGUACCCGCUGAACUUAAGCAUAUCAAUAAGCGGAGGAAAAGAAACUAACUAGGAUUCCCUCAGUAACGGCGAGUGAAGCGGGAAGAGCUCAAAUUUGAAAUCUUCAAGGUUUUACCUUGACGAAUUGUAGUUUAAAGAAGUGCUUUCUGUUGGAGUUUUGGUAAAAGUUCUUUGGAAAAGGACAUCAUAGAGGGUGAGAAUCCCGUAUUUGACCAUUAUCUCCAGCUUUGUGAUACACUUUCAAAGAGUCGGAUUGUUUGGGAAUGCAGUCCAAAAUGGGUGGUAAAUUUCAUCUAAAGCUAAAUACUGGCGAGAGACCGAUAGCGAACAAGUACCGUGAGGGAAAGAUGAAAAGAACUUCGAAAAGGGAGUUAAACAGUACGUGAAAUUGUCAAAAGGGAAGCGUUUGACACCAGUGUUGUUUUCUCGAAAAUCAAUUAAAAAAGGCCGGAUUUUGUGUUGUAUUGACUUUAUCAGCUUUCUGCACUCUUUUCUUGUCUUUUUUAAUGCACUUUUCGUUUAACAAGUCAACAUCAAUUUCUUUUGUUGUAAAAGGGUCAUUGGAAGGUGGCUUUCUUUUCGGAGAAAGUGUUUAUAGCCUUUGGCCUCUGCAAUCGGAGAGAUUGAGGUCUGCAGCGUAGAUCCUUCGGGGUUAGAUACAUUUGUGCUAAGUUAUAGCUUUUCAUAGACAACUUGUUGACUAUGAUCAGUCAUGUAGCUUACUCGCUUAUGCUAUUU
rnacentral:misc_RNA from 1 species